AGAAAUGUAAAGCCUGAGGAACAAAGGCAGGACUUCUCUUCAGAUCUAAGCACUCCCCAAAGGACUCCCUCCAGGGUCCUUGGCACCCUCCAAACCCUGUCCAGAUCUGGUGCUCUUUGGGGUUAGCUCUGCAGCAGCUCCCCGGGAUAGUGCAAUUUUCAGCAAAGAAAGGAAAAAGAAAAGCUAAAAAUCCCAGUUACUCAUUGCACCAAAAUAAAAACAGAUUCUUUCUCUUUUAACAAAACCUCAUUAUGGUAAACAAAAAAUGAAAGUUUGGGGAGAAAAUGUGCUGCCUGCUGAUAAGAAGUUUUUUAUUAUUAUUAUUAAAACAAAUCUACAAGGCUGGAUUUAAACUUCCCAGCCUUUGCUGCAUUUUCCUUUGCUGCUCCACUCAAGACUGCAUCCACACAGUUUGAACUCCCCAGUCUGAGAAGCUGCAGACGAUUUGCUAAAUAGGCCUUCAAGCUGUGCCCACUCCCUUCUCACCAAUGUCCCCACCCCAUGUUUGUGGGGCAGCGGAGAUCUUAAACAUUCCCACUGGGCUGCUGAUGCUUCCUUCAGAGAUGCCCCGUGCUGUGCGCGCUCACGCACUUGGCACCCAUGUCACGCUCCGGCAGCACCCACUGUGGGCUCCCCUCUCCCCGCUGCCACCCAGAGCUGGACCCAGAUGACUGCUUGCUCUGCCAAAAAGACACGUCCACGGCCAUAGCGUGGGCAGGGCCCAUUUGCUUUCAGGAGGAGCCUUAAAGACAACCUCCGCCUGCAGCACUGAGCUGUGGGGUCCUCAUGGUGCAGCCUGGUGCUGGGGGCUGUGACUGACUUUGGUGUAAGGUCUGAGGUGUGGGUGCCUGCACCCAUCACAAGCCCAAGCGCAGACGAACACAAGGCACAGCAGUGACAGGGGGCAACCAGGUCAACCAGGACAACUUGUGAUGUCAAGGGACAUCACAAACAACAGAAGCUUGAUGUGCAGCCCCCUUUCUCCCACUGCCUUGAACGUGGUGGCCACAGCCCAAGCAGCAAACGUCACCCACGAGGCAGCUGUGCUGUGCCAGGGGACUGUGCCUGGGGCAGUCCAGCUGGUCAUAGGUUCACAGCACUUUUGGCUCUGGAGCUGGGCAGUGCCACUCUCUACUGGGAUGCAAAAAACCCCAUGCGCUCUGACAGCCCUUCCUGAAGCCCAUCAGCAUCUCCUCGCCAGGGUUUUGGGCUGCACGGACCCAAGUCCAGAAGUCCUUCCUCGCUGCCCUAGGAGACAUUUCCCUCUCCCACAUUAGCAAGUUUCCUUUUGCAAGACCAGAGCCAUUUCCAGUCCAUCCCAGCUCUGCAAGGGUGCUCUGCAGUGUGACAGCUCUCGGGGGGGACAGCCCCAUGGUGGCUUCAGUCCCCCUCACACAGCCCUCCUGUGCCUUCGUGCCCAGCGGUGCUACAGAUGUGCAGCGUCUGUUCUGUGUUCCCUGGGCAGGACGGCAUGAAAAGAGCCAGAUGCUUUGGUUAAAAAAAAAAAUUAAAAAGAAAGAAAAAAAAUAAUAAAAAUCAGUGCCCAAUUUCA
ensembl:lncRNA